UACGUAGGGUGCAAGCGUUGUCCGGAAUUAUUGGGCGUAAAGAGCUCGUAGGCGGUUUGUCGCGUCGGCUGUGAAAACUCGGGGCUCAACCCCGAGCCUGCAGUCGAUACGGGCAGACUAGAGUGCUGUAGGGGAGACUGGAAUUCCUGGUGUAGCGGUGAAAUGCGCAGAUAUCAGGAGGAACACCGGUGGCGAAGGCGGGUCUCUGGGCCAUUACUGACGCUGAGGAGCGAAAGCGUGGGGAGCGAACAGG
rnacentral:rRNA from 1 species